AGUGAACGCUGGCGGUAGGCUUAACACAUGCAAGUCGAACGGCAGCACAGUAAGAGCUUGCUCUUACGGGUGGCGAGUGGCGGACGGGUGAGGAAUAUAUCGGAAUCUACUUUUUCGUGGGGGAUAACGUAGGGAAACUUACGCUAAUACCGCAUACGACCUACGGGUGAAAGCAGGGGAUCUUUGGACCUUGUGCGAUUGAAUGAGCCGAUGUCGGAUUAGAUAGUUGGGGGGGUAAAGGCCCACUAAGGCGCGGAUAGGUAGCUGGUCUGAGAGGAGGAUCAGCCACAUUGGAGCGGGGACACGGACCAGACGCCUACGAGAGGCAGCAGUGGGGAAUAUUGGACAAUGGGGGCAAACCUGGUCCAGCCAUACCGCGUGGGUGGAGAAGGCCUUCGGUUUGUGAAGCCCUUUUGUUGGGAGAGAAAAGCAGCAGGUUAAUACGCCGCUGUUCUGACGGUACCCAAAGAAUAAGCACCGGCUAACUUCGUG
rnacentral:rRNA from 1 species